CAGCAGCUACAUUAAUAAUAACAAAGAUGUAUAACAAAAAACAAACUGUGGGUAUAGGAGUCCAUACUUGACGUGUUUCGCCAUAGCUUUCUCAAAAGUGGAUGGUGUCCUGUUGCCAAAUGGCUUUUGAUAUGUUCCUGGGUAGCAAUAUAGCGAGUUCCGGUCUUCAUACAGCAAUUUACGGUAUUCAGAAGGUUGAUGACAUCAGUUCCAGUUCCUGGAUUAAAGGUUAUGGGACACCACAGGAAGUGAUGUAUAUGGAAGUCUUUUUAGCGCCAUUUUGGUGAAGGGCAAUAGUCC